rnacentral:rRNA from 1 species
AGAGUUUGAUCCUGGCUCAGGACGAACGCUGGCGGCGUGCUUAACACAUGCAAGUGGAGCGACGAACCGGGCUUCGGCCCGGGGCAGAGNNGCGAACGGGUGAGUAACACGUGGGUAACCCACCCCGAUGAUUGGGACAACCCGAGGAAACUCGGGCUAAUACCAAAUGUGCUUCCUCUCCUCAAGGAGAUGAUGUAAAGGUAGCUUCGGCUUCCGCAUCGGGACGGGCCCGCGGCCCAUUAGCUUGUUGGUGGGGUAACGGCUCACCAAGGCGACGAUGGGUAGCUGGUCUGAGAGGACGAUCAGCCACACUGGGACUGAGACACGGCCCAGACUCCUACGGGAGGCAGCAGUGGGGAAUCUUGCACAAUGCGCGAAAGCGUGAUGCAGCAACGCCGCGUGAGGGAAGACGGCUUUCGGGUUGUAAACCUCUUUCAGUUGGGACGAAGCCUCGUCGGUUAAUAGCCGGCUGGGGUGACGGUACCUUCAGAAGAAGCCCCGGCUAACUACGUGCCAGCAGCCGCGGUAAUACGUGGGGGGCGAGCGUUGUCCGGAAUCAUUGGGCGUAAAGCGCGUGUAGGCGGUCCGAUAAGUCCGCUCUGAAAGUCGGGGGCUCAACCCUCGGAUGCGGGUGGAUACUGUCGGGCUCGAGUGCGGAAGAGGCGAGUGGAAUUCCUGGUGUAGCGGUGAAAUGCGCAGAUAUCAGGAGGAACCCANNUGCGAAGCAGCUCGCUGGGACGUUCUGNNGCUGAGACGGAAANNNUGGGGAGCAAACAGAUUAGAUACCCUAGUAGUCC